GAUGAACGCUGGCGGCGUGCCUAAUACAUGCAAGUCGAGCGAACAGAUAAGGAGCUUGCUCCUUUGACGUUAGCGGCGGACGGGUGAGUAACACGUGGAUAACCUACCUAUAAGACUGGGAUAACUUCGGGAAACCGGAGCUAAUACCGGAUAACAUAUUGAACCGCAUGGUUCAAUAGUGAAAGGCGGCUUUGCUGUCACUUAUAGAUGGAUCCGCGCCGUAUUAGCUAGUUGGUAAGGUAACGGCUUACCAAGGCAACGAUACGUAGCCGACCUGAGAGGGUGAUCGGCCACCCUGGAACUGAGACACGGUCCAGACUCCUACGGGAGGCAGCAGUAGGGAAUCUUCCGCAAAGGGCGAAAGCCUGACGGAGCAACGCCGCGUGAGUGAUGAAGGUCUUCGGAUCGUAAAACUCUGUUAUCAGGGAAGAACAAAUGUGUAAGUAACUGUGCACAUCUUGACGGUACCUGAUCAGAAAGCCACGGCUAACUACGUG
rnacentral:rRNA from 1 species